GAGACAGCAGCAGCCGCGGUAAUACGUAGGUCCCGAGCGUUGUCCGGAUUUAUUGGGCGUAAAGCGAGCGCAGGCGGUUAGAUAAGCCUGAAGUUAAAGGCUGUGGCUUAACCAUAGUACGCUUUGGAAACUGUUUAACUUGAGUGCAGAAGAGGAGAGUGGAAUUCCACGUGUAGCGGUGAAAUGCGUAGAGAUGUGGAGGAACACCAGUGGCGAAGGCGACUCUCUGGUCUGUAACUGACGCUGAGGAGCGAAAGCGUGGGGAGCGAACGGGAUUAGAUACCCGCGUAGUCCCUGUCUCUUAUACC
rnacentral:rRNA from 1 species